UGGGGUGUCGCCAAGCGGUAAGGCACCAGGUUUUGGUCCUGGCAUUCCGAGGUUCGAAUCCUUGCACCCCAGCCAU
rnacentral:tRNA from 2 species